AUCCAGCUGACAAAUCCCAAAUGGGACGAAAUGUGAAUCCUGUAU
rnacentral:hammerhead_ribozyme from 1 species